rnacentral:rRNA from 1 species
UCAGACGAUGCGUCAUGCAUAUCAAUAAGCGGAGGAAAAGAAACUAACAAGGAUUCCCCUAGUAACGGCGAGUGAAGCGGGAAGAGCUCAAAUUUGAAAUCUUAAAGGGUUUCCCUUUACGAAUUGUAGUUUAAAGAAGUGUUUUCUGUUGAGGUUUUGGUAAAAGUUCUUUGGAAUAGGACAUCAUAGAGGGUGAGAAUCCCGUAUUUGACCUUUACUUUCAACUUUGUGAUACACUUUCAAAGAGUCGGAUUGUUUGGGAAUGCAGUCCAAAAUGGGUGGUAAAUUUCAUCUAAAGCUAAAUAUUGGCGAGAGACCGAUAGCGAACAAGUACCGUGAGGGAAAGAUGAAAAGAACUUUGAAAAGAGAGUUAAACAGUACGUGAAACUGUCAAAAGGGAAGCGUUUGACACCAGUGUUGUUUUUCUGAAAAUCAAUUAAAGAACUGUUUAUGCUAAGUUGUUUAGACUUUAUCAGCUAACUGUUUAGUUUUGAGCUUUUCUUUAAUGCACUUUUCAGUUAACAAGUCAACAUCAAUUUCUUUUGCUGUAAAAAAGCUUGAGGAAGGUGGCUUGAGAUUCGUCUUAAGUGUUUAUAGCCUCUUGCCUAUGCAGUCGGAGAGAUUGAGGUCUGCAGCGUAGAUCCUUCGGGGCUAAAUGCAUUUGUGCUAAGUUAUAGCAUUUUAUAGACAACUUGUUGACUAUGAUUUGUCUUGUAGCUUACUCGCUUAUGUUAUUUUACCUACGCUUAGGAUGUUGAAUCUGUGCGAGACUAC